rnacentral:rRNA from 1 species
GACGAACGCUGGCGGCGUGCCUAAUACAUGCAAGUCGAGCGAUGAAGAUUGGUGCUUGCACCGAUCUGAAGAGCAGCGCACGGGUGAGUAACGCGUGGGGACUCUGCCUUUGAGCGGGGGACAACAUUUGGAAACGAAUGCUAAUACCGCAUAACAACUUUAAACAUAAGGUUUAAGUUUGAAAGUUGCCAUUGCAUCACGCAAAGAUGAUCCCGCGUCGUAUUAGCUUGGUGGUGGGGUAAAUGCUCACCAAGGCGAGGCCACGUAGCCGAACUGAGAGGGUGCUCAGCCGCCCUGGGACGGGGACACGGCCCAAAGGCCUACGGGAGGCAGCCGUAGGGAAUCUGGGGCAAUGGGCGGAAGUCUUACCGAGCAACGCCGCGUGAGUGAAGAGGGUUGUCGGGUCGUGGAACUCUGUUGGUGGGGAGGAACGCGGGUGAGAGUGGAAAGCUCAGUGAGUGACGGUAACUACCCAGAAAGCGACGGCUAACUACGUG